CAUGAACUUUGGGUUGCUGAAGCUGAGGAAAAUGUCUGAGCUCAUAUCUCACCUAAUGUGGUCAGCCAGCCACAGAAGAAAUAGCCCAGACUAGACUCCUGCCUCAGCCUUCAAAGUGCUGGGAUUACAAAUAUUCCAUGGACAUACUAGGAAAGUCUGAUAAUGCCUUUAAGGAACUCCUUCCUCGGGUGUGACAAUGGAAAUUAAAGUAGGACUCACUUGCUCACAGAGAUUCAGUGAGGACCAAGAGCUAAGCAUCCUGCUUGACCCGGCUGUGGGCAUCAGAAAAAAACGUACAGGCCCUCUGCAGCCACCCAUGGAAACAGAAGAGAUUGCAUGCAGAGAUAGAGACACCAAGCUUUGAUACUGCAUAACUAUUCAGGAAUGGACCUGGGAUGCAGCAGACCAGAGAUGAGAAGAGCGGGUCCAGGGAGUGACUUUUACCCAGAUCGAGGCCCUGUUCCUGGUGCAAACUGUCCAACA
rnacentral:lncRNA from 1 species